ensembl:lncRNA
UAAGGAUAGUGCAGAAGGCAGUCUUUCCCAAUGAAUUACAGCUGUACUGAUAACUGAGGAGUGGAGACAGCCUUGCCUGUCCAAUGAGGAUGGGUGUUAUAAAAGAGUGGGCUGGCUAACUGAGAAUAAGUUGUAGUUACAGCUGGAGUUGGAGUCCUAGGGUCUGCUGCAGUUUGGGAUGGAGGCUCCUGGCUGUGCUGUGAGGAGGAUAGAAGGACAGGAGCGACCAUCCAUCAAGGCACAUUGUCACCAGCCCAGCAGGCAGCAAGCCCCAAGUUGGAGGGGACAAGCUCUCACAAGCCCACAUUUUUGGGCCUGGUUCCUGUUUCAUGUGGCAGCAGGUUGGCCUCGACCCGGUGCCUGCCCCAACAGAGCAGGACACGGCAGCUUGAAAGGGACUGUCAGGAGAGGAACAGCUGAGAGCCACACCGACCCCGGCGCGUGUAUAAAUAGAGACAGAGCUGUUAUCCUGAUGAAAUGAGACCAGAUGUUUCUCCCAAAUCCCUCCUCUCUGCUAGUGAAAAUUAUAGUUUAGUUACAGCAGGGCAAAGCGGGCAGCAAAAUAUUUAAGACCAACUAAUGUUGGGAAGUCAAAGGGGCAAAAUGACUUACUGGGGUAGGGGUAUCAUGCCCUGUGAUGCUGCAGGGAUGGAUAGAGCAUGGUCAGAGUGGGAACCAGAGGAGUCCCUCACUGCUUUUGUUCUGUUUUUCUGCUUCCUACCCCAGUAUUAAUGGGCUGAGUUUUAAAGCCCAUGCUGUGGCCGCUUUUGUGAGGUAGAAAUUCAGAGUCAGCACAUGUAUCCUGGAGGCAGUUGGCACGAGAUGAAGGAGGGACGGCAGCAGCAGUUAAAACUGGGUCUUGGCUCUUUAAUAUUUAACUUUCUCCAGUGCUUGGGGUUUUUAUUAAUCAGUUUGUGCAUUAUCUGCCAUCCCCAUUCAAAGAGGGUUUUAGCACAGAGAUUUCAGUGCUUAAUCCCAGAGGCAGGGAGAGUGGAAGAGUCUCUCUGAAGGUUCCAGUGCUCAAUCUGGCCUCAAUUACACCAGCCUAAAUCAGCAAAGAGCAGCCACGACGGACUUUGCCGUGACUGCAUUGGGCUGAAGGUAACGAAGUUAGGGGUCAGUCCUGUAUCUCUCCAGGAGAUACCUCUGGUCCCUAAGGCUCCAGCCAUAAGGGAGUUCCCAGGAGGAGAACCCUGCUGUCAGACUGGCUCAGAAUAAACUUCUACCUUGGGCAACAACUGGGGCUUGGCUGUGGCCAGCUGCAGACGCUUAGGAAGGGAUAUCGGAAGAGAGAGAGUAUAAAGGGAUCCUUCCUCUGGCAUUUCCUCCCGGCUCCUAGCAAUCAGCAGUUGAGGGACUUCCUAAACGGAGGUUGCAUGAAUUUGUGUAAUCCCUUUUGGUUUUUUUUCUCAUUCAUUUAUACUUUUGGCCUCCAUGACAUCCUGUGACAAUAAGUUCCACAAUGUAAUUAUGUGUUGUGUGAAAAAGUACUUCCUUUUGUCUGCUUCAGACCUGGCUCCUGAACAUUUCUCUCCAUGUUCUUGUGUUAGAAGAAAAGGGAAAAAGAAUUCCAGGUCCAUACCAGACCGCUCUUGACCUCUUCAGACUCCUCUGUCUUUAUUUGGCCCCAAGGUUUUGUUCUUCCAAACUAGAGCCUCCUUGUUUUUCUAGUCUUUCCUCCUCACAUGGUAUCUAUCCCAUCACUUCCACUGUCCUUGCCGCCCUCCUCCAUGUCUCUUCUCAUUUUCUUAUUGCCUUUUUUCUUUUUGAGAUACGAUCACUGAAGUGAGACUUGCUCACUUCUGAAGACAUGAAUUCAUUCUCCUGGAAGAAGGUCAGCUCAAAAGCUUUCUUUUCUCAAGUCAUAUUGGUGUACUUUGAUUUCUUCUACAACACAUAAAGCAGUCUUGGGCUUAAUGAAAAUAUACACACGGCUCUCUUCAAAUACUUGGGUUUAACGUAUUCUGAGCAAACCCCCAGCCCUAAUUUAACUAUUGUCUGUAGGUUAAAAUGACAUCCACAAGUAGAUUAACUAAUGGGGCUGGUUUACAUGAAGGGAAUUUCAUGCAUGUGCUUAUAUUACUGCUCAUUUAUGCCUUCACAAAUGCCCUGAGCACUACUGGUGGAGAAGACCCCCAGCCAGAACAGCUGAACUGGUGAGCAUGAAACGUGGGAUUCUCUGAUUUCCAGGACAUCUUUAUUUAUAAAAGAUGUCUAUUUUUGCUCCUGUCAUGCCCGCAAAACCAGCCUUCCUCUUUUAGUUAUCCCUGCUCUUUAUUAUUGUUUAUGUUGUCUUGAACC